rnacentral:lncRNA from 1 species
UCUGAUGAACACUAAGCGAAAUAGCCAGAAAGUAAUGAGUGUAUAUAUGCUUUUCAGUGAAUAAUGAUCAUUAAAAAUGAAUUGGAUCCCCCUUUAUAUAACAGGGGAGUCCUAAAUAAAGGACACUUCUUAUAAUAGUAGAAGUCAUAUUUGGCGGCUAAUUAACCGCCGAGGAGCAAUCCAUUUCGAAAUUCACACUGCGAUUUUCUAUUCGGUACGGGUAUCUCGCUCUUUCGGUUACUGAACUAUACCGGUAUCACCUCAAAGUAUGUCCUUUUCUUACCCUGGUAAGUGAUAUCGGCCUCAAUCUUGAAAAGAAACUUCGACCUCAAGCUCGACGUCUUGGCUGGUAUUACUUUUUCCAUCAAAGUACGAAAUCAGAUAGCCCCGAUUUCCAUUAUAUACAAAAAGUCAUAUCCCCUCUUUAUUCUUGGGCUCGAUCAACUCAACCAAAGAAAUUAUCUUUAAAAUAGCUGAAUGAAAAUUAAAGUCAAAGUAUACAAUUAGAUGGAUCAGACGCCACUAAACUCUUCAUAUAAAGUUCUUUUAUUUUAUGAUUAUGAUAUAAAAAUCAGAUUUUUUCUUUUAAUUUUCCGUACACUUUCUUAUGAGUCACUAUCGUCACCAAAGAAGUUGAACCUUAAAGGCCACUUAGAUAUUGAGAGUUGAAACUAAUAUGAGGAAUAAUAGUCGUGAAGGUUAAGUCGUAGGAAUCCAAUCGGCGGGUUCUACAGACUUGUCACUCCCACAUCACGACGUGUUAGCAAAAGUGCAAAGAUGGCAUGACAAGACAAUACUUUAUGUUGAGUCAAGCCAAUUCUUUUCUUUCUUCUUUCUACCAAGUAAAUAAAUACUGUAAAUAUUAAGAUAUAAUCGCGACUUAAUAUAAAAUCAAAUACUAAGCGCGAGUAAAUAUUUUUCUUAUGCCACUAAUAUAUAUAUAUAUAUAUAUCGUCCCACCAACUAUAUAUUUCCCUAUAUUUCUGGCGCAAGAGAAGGGCGUGUCUCAAUUUCUAUCCAAUCAAGCUAAUAUACUGUACCGAAACUACUGAACUACUACAAAUGUUUUGCUCUUCCUUGAAGAUACAAAGGUUCUCUAUAUAUGUAUACGUAUGUAUAUUAAGUCUAAGCAUUUUGCACUUUCUUUUUCUGCUAACAACAACUAAACCAAACUUUGACGUUUAAUUGCUAACCUUAUUUAGACAAAAAGGACUCCUCAACCGCCUAUGAC